rnacentral:rRNA from 1 species
CCAGCACCCCGAGUGGUCGGACGAUUAUUGGGCCUAAAGCAUCCGUAGCCGGUUUUACAAGUCCUCCGUUAAAUCCAACUGCUUAACAGAUGGGCCGCGGAGGAUACUAUAAGACUAGGAGGCAGGAGAGGCAAGCGGUACUCAGUGGUAGGGGUAAAAUCCGUUGAUCCAUUGAAGACCACCAGUGGCGAAGGCGGCUUGCCAGAAUGCGCUCGACGGUGAGGGAUGAAAGCUGGGGGAGCAAACCGGAUUAGAUACCCGGGUAGUCCCAGCUGUAAACGAUGCAGACUCGGUGAUGGACUAGCUUCAUGCUAGUCCAGUGCCGCAGGGAAGCCGUUAAGUCUGCCGCCUGGGUAGUACGGUCGCAAGACUG